UGGGGAAUAUUGGACAAUGGGCGCAAGCCUGAUCCAGCCAUGCCGCGUGAGUGAAGAAGGUUUUCGGAUCGUAAAGCUCUGUUGUUAAGGAAGAACGAGUGUGAGAAUGGAAAGUUCAUGCUGUGACGGUACUUAACCAGAAAGGGACGGCUAACUACGUGCCAGCAGCCGCGGUAAUACGUAGGUCCCGAGCGUUGUCCGGAUUUAUUGGGCGUAAAGCGAGCGCAGGCGGUUAGAAAAGUCUGAAGUGAAAGGCAGUGGCUCAACCAUUGUAGGCUUUGGAAACUGUUUAACUUGAGUGCAGAAGGGGAGAGUGGAAUUCCAUGUGUAGCGAUGAAAUGCGUAGAUAUAUGGAGGAACACCGGUGGCGAAAGCGGCUCUCUGGUCUGUAACUGACGCUGAGGCUCGAAAGCGUGGGGAGCGAACAGG
rnacentral:rRNA from 1 species